AGUCACUGACAUUAGAUACCCGUGUAGUCCAGGGUGUAAACGCUGCAGACUUGGUGUUGGGGCCCUUUGGGGCAUUCAGUGCCGGAGAGAAGUUGUUAAGUCUGCUACUUGGGAGUACGUCCGCAAGGAUGAAACUUAAAGGAAUUGGCGGGGGAGCACCGCAACGGGAGGAGCGUGCGGUUUAAUUGGAUUCAACACCGUAAACUCACCAGGGAAGACUGUUACAUGAAGGCCGAGAUGAAGACUCUGCUAGAUUUUCAG
rnacentral:rRNA from 1 species